AUUGAACGCUGGCGGCAGGCUUAACACAUGCAAGUCGAGCGGAGAUGAGGUGCUUGCACCUUAUCUUAGCGGCGGACGGGUGAGUAAGGCUUAGGAAUCUGCCUAUUAGUGGGGGACAACAUUCCGAAAGGAAUGCUAAUACCGCAUACGUCCUACGGGAGAAAGCAGGGGAUCUUCGGACCUUGCGCUAAUAGAUGAGCCUAAGUCGGAUUGAGUGGUUGGUUGGGUAAAGGCCUACCAAGGCGACGAUCUGUAGCGGGUCUGAGAGGAUGAUCCGCCACACUGGGACUGGGACUCGGCCCAGACUCCUACGGGAGGCGGCAGUGGUGAAUAUUGGACAAUGGGGGGAACCCUGAUCCAGCCAUGCCGCGUGUGUGAAGAAGGCCUUAUGGUUGUAAAGCACUUUAAGCGAGGAGGAGGCUACUGAGACUAAUACUCUUGGAUAGUGGACGUUACUCGCAGAAUAAGCACCGGCUAACUCUGAGCCAGCAGCCGCCGUAACAC
rnacentral:rRNA from 1 species